UACGUAGGGUGCGAGCGUUAAUCGGAAUUACUGGGCGUAAAGCGUGCGCAGGCGGUUUGUUAAGACAGAUGUGAAAUCCCCGGGCUUAACCUGGGAACUGCAUUUGUGACUGGCAAGCUAGAGUAUGGCAGAGGGGGGUAGAAUUCCACGUGUAGCAGUGAAAUGCGUAGAGAUGUGGAGGAAUACCGAUGGCGAAGGCAGCCCCCUGGGCCAAUACUGACGCUGAGACGCGAAAGCGUGGGGAGCAAACAGG
rnacentral:rRNA from 1 species